rnacentral:tRNA from 1 species
GGUCCAAUGGUCUAGAGGUAAGAUACUUGCUUUGGGCGGUUUCUCCCAAAUUGGCUUGCAAGGGAUCCUGGGUUCGAAUCCCAGUUGGACCC